AAGUCCCGCAACGAGCGCAACCCUUGUCUUUAGUUGCUACGCAAGAGCACUCUAAAGAGACUGCCGGUGACAAACCGGAGGAAGGUGGGGAUGACGUCAAGUCCUCAUGGCCCUUAUGGGUAGGGCUUCACACGUCAUACAAUGGUGCAUACAGAGGGUUGCCAACCCGCGAGGGGGAGCUAAUCUCAGAAAAUGCAUCGUAAUCCGGAUCGUAGUCUGCAACUCGACUACGUGAAGCUGGAAUCGCUAGUAAUCGCGGAUCAGAAUGUCGCGGUGAAUACGUUCCCGGGUCUUGUACACACCGCCCGUCAUACCAUGGGAGUGGGUUUUGCCAGAAGCCGUUAGCCUAACCGCAAGGAGGCGAC
rnacentral:rRNA from 1 species